rnacentral:rRNA from 1 species
GAUGAACGCUGGCGGCGUGCCUAAUACAUGCAAGUCGAGCGAACAGACGAGGAGCUUGCUCCUCUGACGUUAGCGGCGGACGGGUGAGUAACACGUGGAUAACCUACCUAUAAGACUGGGAUAACUUCGGGAAACCGGAGCUAAUACCGGAUAAUAUAUUGAACCGCAUGGUUCAAUAGUGAAAGACGGUUUUGCUGUCACUUAUAGAUGGAUCCGCGCCGCAUUAGCUAGUUGGUAAGGUAACGGCUUACCAAGGCAACGAUGCGUAGCCGACCUGAGAGGGUGAUCAGCCACACUGGAACUGAGACACGGUCCAGACUCCUACGGGAGGCGGCAGUAGGGAAUCUUCCGCAAUGGGCGAAAGCCUGACGGAGCAACGCCGCGUGAGUGAUGAAGGUCUUCGGAUCGUAAAACUCUGUUAUUAGGGAAGAACAAAUGUGUAAGUAACUAUGCACGUCUUGACGGUACCUAAUCAGAAAGCCACGGCUAACUACGUG